rnacentral:siRNA from 1 species
GCAUGGCCUCUGUGCUGGC